rnacentral:lncRNA from 13 species
AUGUACAUCUGGAUGGUUGAAGUUCUGUGUGUACUGAUGUGUUUGGGAAAUAAUCAGGCUCAAGAAGCCAACCCAGCUAUCUCCAUGCCGGACAGAAUCAGGGUGGCUCUGGCAGGAGAAACGGUCCUUUACAAACCCAAAGUGACCAUCCCAAUGAAUCAGAGCUCCAGCAACUUAGUCUGCUCUGGGCCUCCAGAACAAAAGAAGAUAAAAGAAUGGAAUAUUCUCUUUUCUCCUGAAACAUUAACAAGAACAUUUAAUUGGGAAAUAACAGCAUAUAACAGUUCAUACUCAGGAGAGUAUAACUGCAAGUAUAAAAAUGUGGAGAUCUUCUGGACCCUUCUGGUGAAAGACGAGGGGUACCGGCAGUCUUACUCUGGUUUCAGCCUUUUUAUCGUGUUGGGGGCUCUUACCACAGGCCUCCUCAUCUUCAGUGUGAUCGGCUCCAUAUACAUGUUCAAAAGCCAAUGGAAUGGAAGUACCAGUAGUGGAGUAAGCGGAAGGAAUAGAGGGGAGAAUGAAGAGGAGGAGGAGAACGGUAACACAUCAGUGAAUGCAGCUGCCUCUGCUCCAGUUUACGCUAGUCUAGAGUCUCGGCCAGCAUCUGUCUAUGAGGUCUUGACCCCAGGAGCACCAGCAGCAGCAGUAAACCGUGAAUCUGUCCAGAGGAAAGGAAAAGUAAAGAGAAAGUCAAAGGAAUCGAUGGAGAAUGCAACGCCGCAAGGGGAAGGAAUAUUUGAAUGCGUCUAUGAGAAUUUCUGA